rnacentral:rRNA from 1 species
UACGGGGGGGGCAAGCGUUGUUCGGAAUUACUGGGCGUAAAGGGCUCGUAGGCGGCCAACUAAGUCAGACGUGAAAUCCCUCGGCUUAACCGGGGAACUGCGUCUGAUACUGGUUGGCUUGAAUCCGGGAGAGGGAUGUGGAAUUCCAGGUGUAGCGGUGAAAUGCGUAGAUAUCGAGAGGAACACCUGCGGCGAAGGCGGGUUGCUGGGCUGACACUGACGCUGAGGCGCGAAAGCCAGGGGAGCGAACGGG